rnacentral:rRNA from 1 species
AGUGAACGCUGGCGGCAGGCCUAAUACAUGCAAGUCGAACGGCAGCACAGCAGAGCUUGCUCUGUGGGUGGCGAGUGGCGGACGGGUGAGGAAUACGUGGGAAUCUGCCCAGUCGUGGGGGAUAACGUAGGGAAACUUACGCUAAUACCGCAUGCGCCCUUCGGGGGAAAGCCGGGGACCUUCGGGCCUGGCGCGAUUGGAUGAGCCCACGUCGGAUUAGCUAGUUGGCGGGGUAAAGGCCCACCAAGGGCGACGAUCCGUAGCUGGUCUGAGAGGAUGAUCAGCCACACUGGAACUGAGACACGGUCCAGACUCCUACGGGAGGCAGCAGUAGGGAAUAUUGGACAAUGGGCGCAAGCCUGAUCCAGCCAUGCCGCGUGAGUGAAGAAGGCCCUCGGGUUGUAAAGCUCCUUUGUCCGGAAAGAAAAGCGCCGGGUUAAUACCCUGGUGUCCUGACGGUACCGGAAGAAUAAGCACCGGCUAACUUCGUGCCAGCAGCCGCGGUAAAG